UUGUCUAAAAAUCAAUCAGGUGGCUAUGGUUGUUUUAACCUUUGUGGUUAAAAAGGAUUCAAAAAUGUAUUAGUCACAUUUUCUGCUCCUUGAGAGGAAUUCUGGGAGAUUCAUCCCAUUUCAGAAUUGGAAUGGACCUUCGUUCUUCAAGAUCCUGCAGUGCUCUGGGUCAUGAUUUUGCAUUUAGCCUUCCAAAGCAGCACCAGGACGUUUUUCAUCAAUGGGUGGUUCCAUUGAGGAAUUCCUUGAGGUACCCCGAACAUGACUGCGGCGCGAGAAUUAUAUAUGGUGCUCAGUUUCGUGACGGAGGAUGCCUGAGAUGGUAAGUGUGGAAGUGCCUCAGCUAAAGAGGUCCACCUCGUCGGAGAUCAGGGACACUGUUGGUAUGGCUGCCCGACCUUCGCGGACCUAUGAAGGGCCCUCUCUUCAGGACCCCUCUAAAGCACCAUCCUAGAAGCAGAAUCCUCCCUACAGGAUGCCCGAGGCUAGUCCGUUUCUCUCUCAGCUCAGACUUCACUCAUCCUCCCUCCCUUUUUUCCGUCCUUCCCAGGAUGUUGCUUCUAAGACCACCAAAUAAACUGAUUACUUGCCAAACACUACCUCAGUUUUUGUUUGUUGGUGGGCCCAGCCCACUCAGAAAUCCUUUGCGCUAUUUGCCUGCCUCUUAGAAAACCCAACAUGGAUUGCAAGACGAACUUUUCGGUACCAUUAAAGUGAGAAAACAACAACAACAAAAAAACAAACAAACAAACAAACAAACAAAACCCCCAAAAACCAAAAACAAAAACAAAAAAUUACAGCUAAACUGGGAUGCAAAACAAAAGCAGAAUGAGCUUCCCUUCCCUUCCCUUCCUUCUAUCUGAACUUGGGAUGUGGUGGUGUUUCUGUUUGGAGAUCAGAUUCUCAUCCUGUAGACCAAGCUGGCCUAGAACUCAUGGAGAUCAGACUGGCCUCAGCCUCCCAGUUUUUAGAAGUAUAGAUGUAAACUAUCAUCCCCCAGCGUGAAUUUCAGAGGUGGAGGGAUGUCGGUCUUGUUUGGAUUUGGCAGUCAGAAGACAUCAUCAGACAUCUUCCUCUGACAGCUCUGAGUUGAUGGUGGUGGUGUGGUGGGAGAAUCAUGACAGUUUUGAACUCGGUACUUUCUUCGUAUUUUGCCUUGAAAUUUGUCCUCAUAGAGCUAGAAGUGAAACCCUUGUUCAGACCAUCUCACUCUCUCCCUUGGGCCACCGUGGUUGCUGUAGAAAUCACUGAAGGAGACCUUAAGUAGGCAAGUGGUACCUGGGGGGAUUUCCACCUUAUGGUCGCACAGCA